UAAUACCCGAUAGGUCUCGAUUGCUGGAAUGCAUCGAGAUUAAAGCUCCGGCGCCUAAGGAUGGGUCUGCGGCCUAUCAGGUAGUAGUAGGUGUAGCGUACCUACUAGCCUACGACGGGUACGGGUUGUGAGAGCAAGAGCCCGGAGAUGGAUUCUGAGACACGAAUCCAGGCCCUACGGGGUGCAGCAGGCGCGAAAACUUUACAAUGCUGGCAACAGCGAUAAGGGAACCUCGAGUGCCAGGUUACAAGUCUGGCUGUCGAGAUGCCUAAAAAGCAUUUCAUAGCAAGGGCCGGGCAAGACCGGUGCCAGCCGCCGCGGUAACACCGGCGGCUCGAGUGGUAACCGUUAUUAUUGGGUCUAAAGGGUCUGUAGCCGGCCGGAUAAGUCUCUUGAGAAAUCUGGCAGCUUAACUGUCAGGCUUUCAGGAGAUACUGUCUGGCUCGAGGCCGGGAGAGGUGAGAGGUACUUCAGGGGUAGGGGUGAAAUCUUGUAAUCCUUGAAGGACCCCCAGUGGCGAAGGCGUCUCACCAGAACGGACCUGACGGCAAGGGACGAAAGCUAGGGGCACGAACCGGAUUAGAUACCCGGGUAGUCCUAGCCGUAAACGAUACUCGCUAGGUGU
rnacentral:rRNA from 1 species